GAACAGUUGAGAGAACUCCAUGAAUACGGCUACCGGAUGUCCAAACCACCAGCUUGUCCGGAUCAGUUAUACAGAAUCAUGCGAGCUUGUUGGCGAGGCGAUCCUCGACAGAGGCCAUCAUUCCGACAGCUAGAGGAAACAUUGGACCAACUCAUUCAGCAGACGAGAAACAUGGAAUAUAUCGACCUCAACGAGCAUGGCCUGAAAACAUCGAAUCCUCUGCCACUCCUUCCUGAGGACAUGAAUAAU
rnacentral:sRNA from 1 species